rnacentral:rRNA from 1 species
AGUGAACGCUGGCGGUAGGCCUAACACAUGCAAGUCGAACGGCGGCACAGUAAGAGCUUGCUCUUACGGGUGGCGAGUGGCGGACGGGUGAGGAAUACAUCGGAAUCUACUUUUUCGUAGGGGAUAACGUAGGGAAACUUACGCUAAUACCGCAUACGACCUACGGGUGAAAACAGGGGAUCUUCGGACCUUGCGCGAUUGAAUGAGCCGAUGUCGGAUUAGCUAGUUGGCGGGGUAAAGGCCCACCAAGGCGACGAUCCGUAGCUGGUCUGAGAGGAUGAUCAGCCACACUGGAACUGAGACACGGUCCAGACUCCUACGGGAGGCAGCAGUGGGGAAUAUUGGACAAUGGGCGCAAGCCUGAUCCAGCCAUACCGCGUGGGUGAAGAAGGCCUUCGGGUUGUAAGGCCCUUUUGUUGGGAAAGAAGAGCAGCAGGUUAAUACCCCGCUGUUCUGACGGUACCCAAAGAAUAAGCACCGGCUAACUUCGUG